rnacentral:rRNA from 1 species
CCUACGGGUGGCAGCAGUGAGGAAUAUUGGUCAAUGGACGAGAGUCUGAACCAGCCAAGUAGCGUGAAGGAUGACUGCCCUAUGGGUUGUAAACUUCUUUUAUAUGGGAAUAAAACGUUCCACGUGUGGGAUUUUGUAUGUACCAUAUGAAUAAGGAUCGGCUAACUCCGUGCCAGCAGCCGCGGUAAUACGGAGGAUCCGAGCGUUAUCCGGAUUUAUUGGGUUUAAAGGGAGCAUAGGUGGAUUGUUAAGUCAGUUGUGAAAGUUUGCGGCUCAACCGUAAAAUUGUAGUUGAGACUGGCAGUCUUGAGUACAGUAGAGGUGGGCGGAAUUCGUGGUGUAGCGGUGAAAUGCUUAGAUAUCACGAAGAACUCCGAUUGCGAAGGCAGUUCACUGGACUGCAACUGACACUGAGGCUCGAAAGUGUGGGUAUCAAACAGGAUUAGAUACCCGAGUAGUC